UGUUCCGAUCGCGACGACGUUGGCGGUUGUCUGCCGACGACGUUGCGAGAAGUUCAUUGAACCUUAUCAUUUAGAGGAAGGAGAAGUCGUAACAAGGUUACCGUAGGUGAACCUGCGGUAGGAUCAUU
rnacentral:rRNA from 1 species